GUUUCUCAUUUGGAUACCUGAGCCGGCAUGAUGGCGUGAAUGGACUCCCGGUAGGUAAGUGACGGUAUGAGUGUCUGUGUGAAUGUAUGUUUAAGUUAACCGAUAGAGCUCCGAGUGUGCAGCCUUGGUCACCCUAUCCAACAGAGAAGGGAGAAGGAAAAGUAGCGCUGUUUAGUGUUGAAUUAGCGACGCUAGCGGGGAGGGAAAUGUUUGGCGUGUACGAAGGUAUAUGUGUGUGUGUGGCUUCACGCGCUGCCCGCGUGAGGACGCCGUUCCGUCACACCCGCCAAACGUUAAAAUUGCGGUAAUAUUUGUAAUGUUAAAAUGGUAGUUUUUCCACAGUCAUUAGCAAAUAUGGCUCAAGGGGUGGAAAGUUGGGAUGACCGUUUUAGAAAGGGGGGUAAUUUUGACCAUUUUCAUUUCAGAGGGGAUGCCUCAACUCGGGUACUGAUUGUGCGCAUUCAGCGGGAGAGUUGCCGAGAGUUGCUGUGAUGAUUGGAGCCCUCAUAUCUGCGCGGCCGCCAUCUUGGAUGGGUCCCCCGUGCGCCUCCAGUCAGUGCAUUAAGGUACGUAGGAAUGCCCAACCAUAUUGAUAAUAACUCUCUGAAUCUCUGCCCGAUUUUCACAUUGUUUGGUUUGUUACAACGGCAGGGAUGUAGCCAUAAUACAGGACAAUGUCACACAUUAAAAAUAAAACAAAUUAUUUUUCAAUCCUAUUUGUGAAAUCUAAUCCAACGUGAUCUGGUGUCAAUACUGCGUCGGGUUUUUCAACCAUAGAAUGCAAAAAAAAGGCAUAGUUGCUCAUUCUCCAUUGACCCCGUUUGGCUCUUGAGCGAGCCUGGAGUGGGGAGACACAUACAGUAUGGCGGUGACACUGGAUUACGCUCCAGCACGUAAUUAGGCGUUUACGUGUAGAAUGUGUAUCAUAUACAGUGGAUGUAUAUUCUGUGUAAUAAAUUUAUAAAGUUUUUCCACAGCUCCAUAAGGAUGGCUGGCAGAGGGCAGGAUUCAUGACCUAUACUGCAGCCCGUCACCAGAGGGUGCAGUUCUCGGAGUGGCUUCACCCAGCGAGGAGGAUGACAGCGUCCAUUCUACAUACAGUCGAUGGUCCAACCUAAAGGUGAAGAUCUGAACAGGUAAGGAAACCUAUCUUUUCUUUAAUGCUUUGCGACAAGGUAUCAAACUGUCAUGUUUCCAAUCUUCCCAGGAAUCACACUGCUUUCCAGCACUGACUUAAGUUACUUCAAGCGCAUUUCCAACACAAUUUGUUGUUGAACAAACUCAUCACAUCAAUCUGCUCACAGCCUCCAGUAAACUCUCUGAAAGUCUGAAAGAUGAAUAAUGAAGGCGUUACUUGAGUUUUUCUUUCAACACUGUUUGAGUCUCGUGUUUUUACUUCUUCUCUUGAACAGUCCUCUGUCAGAUUUGAGAUUCUGAAUUCUUUGAAUACUCAAGUCUUCUUCUGAGAAAUACCACCUUAAAAACCAUACUUUCAUUUCCUGCUGCCCUAACUCUUCUUAAAGCAGACAGUUUCAAUAAAACCUACAAAUCCCCCGAAGAUCUGACUGACCUCAGAGAAACAAACACAGACAUUGAACAAGAGCCACACAGCUCAGAAAAUUCAUUGCUUGUACAGAAUAAAAAAUAAGACACAAAUAAUAAAAAAAGAAACAGAUAAGAGAUAAAAUAUUGAAGUCUGUACAAACAGACAGAAGCUGCUAUGACAGCUGAAGUGAUUCAGCCAUGAAAACAAAGGGGAGAGUUUGGCAACAACAAGCAAGAUUACAGGAAAAAGGGGAAGGAAUGAAGGAGAAACACACAGGUGGUGAACAUAGUGUACACACAGUAGACUAAUAAAAUACCUGCACACAGGCUGAUUUAAAAACCAUAACUCUUGCUCGAGUUUUAAAGUGUCUUGUUUGGGAAACGUUCCAGAUCCAGUGCGUAUAGAAAGAGCAGAGAAGUAAAUUCUCCUAGAAUAAAUCCCAGCCACUAAUAUCACCAAGAGUUGCUCAUUAUCAGGCCCUGCUGUCUGCUCCAGUGUUAGGUCUAAGUCAUAAAGCAUAAUUGUUUAUUGAUGUUCAGGUAAAAACUUCCAAGUAAAAGUUCUCUGGAUGAGAUGGAUAAGGAGGACAUGUUUUGUACUAGUGAAAUGAUAUUUAUCAUAUUUUUAUUACAGUCUUAUCUAAAGUCAAAUAGCAUGGAUGUGGGUAGUAAAUAAAACCUCAACUGAUUUAGAGAGGACCUUAAAAAAGAUAUUUUUCCCCCUUUGUUUAAAAAAAGGGUACAUAACUGUAAAAGUGAGUGUUUUUGUCAUCCAACUUUAAUCCAUUUGGCUCUUGCUAACGUGUUUUGAUGACUAUUUUGACAUGAAAUAGGUCAACCAGCACUAAGAAGAAAAGAGGCAUGAUGCCGCCCUUGACAUAUGUAUGUCAAUAACUUGAAUCUUACCUGACAGCAGUCCAUUUCAGUCAAGAAAUAAACAUAGCUCAACAUAAGUGUGCUUUUUUACAUACUUAGUGCGUUGAUUUAUGUGGAUCCAUACUUAAAGAAAGUAGGAGCUUUAUUCUCAAAUAUUUUUUAUCAUGGGGUCCAGAUUCGUUGGGCUAUUUGGACUUUAAACUGCGAUGCUAAGGAGCACUGUUACCAGUCAACUUAGCUCCCCCUCUUGUCAACAUUGACAGUGUUUUUACUGAGAAUCAAAGCCUUUAAAAGGUGUUGCUUUUUUAACAGGGGUAUCUAAGCCCCCAACAUGUUGGAUAAGUGUUAUUUUUUGUCUGAUUCUAUCUUCAAGCAUAGUCUAAAGCAUAAAAAUGCACACUUUGGUGCAGUUUUGCAUGUCUGUGCCGACUCAAAGAUGACAACCUCUUCAGAGGGACUUGCCAAGCCCAAACUAUUAUUGACUAUGAAUAGAUGUCUGAUGUUUUGUCACAAUACAAACCACUGUAAAUGGAUUCUAAAUUCAGGGACAGAUAUGGUAAUAUGAGCGUUGACUGUAUUUAGAUACAUAUGUUGUACUCAUGAUGGUGUAGCAACAUUUUCUCUUUGUCUGUGUAAAGACAACCACGGGCACCAAAUCUCAGUUUAAUACUUUAUGUUUGAGUUGGAACUAAUACAUGUUGUUGCAGUUGCUAAUGCCGCAGUUUUUGCAAAGAAGGAAAGAGAAGAGAUUUGAGUUGCACAGGAAGAAGGACAGCAUCAUCUAUUUGCCACCAAGCGAACCAAUCACAUGACUUGCGGUCCGAGUUGUUUCAAUAUGUAGCUACAUUUUUGAAUUGGUGCACAAUCUGCAGUGAAUGUCUCCUUUUGAUUGUUACAGAGUUCAUGCUGGGGGUGGAGCGAGAGGGAUAUCACUCAAAAAUGAUCAUCCAAUGAGUCUGGAGAAAUGGUUUCGGCAACAAGACAAGCUGUUUUUCUAGGAGGAAAUCUGCUUUCACUCACAUGUAACGAGACCGUCACUUUGAAAUCACAGAUGCUUUUUUAAUCGUCAUGGUUCAAAUUCUCACAACUAUAAACCGUUUGUUUGGCCUGGUUUCACAUGUCACCAAUAGCCAGGACUAAAAACAUUACAGAGAAAACAUUCAUCUUAACCUGAGAACAGUUCAUAUAAAAUACUCAGAAUAUCAAUAACCAAAGGCUCAACACUAAUCCACUGAACACUCUAUCCGAGAAGCCCUGGCACUGAGGAGAGCUUGACCCAGCUUAAGGUCAGCAAACUGGGGUGAACUUAAACUAGAGGUGCUUCAACUGAAACAGAGUGCUGGUAGUUGGAUAGGGUUAGGGUUAGGAAUCCACAUACUGAUCUACAAUUACAGGAUAUCAUACUGGUCAGCCUCAAACAGCUGGAGAGAGGACACUGGAACUACAUCUGGAAAAAAUAUGAUUCUAGCUUCUGGCUUCUGAUUGGACUCUUACAGGUUAAGAUACAGCCUCUGAUUGGUUGGCAGACCAGAGCAAAGAUGGCCCUGUCUAGCAUAGUCAGCAAACAACAGGAAUGGCACUACUUGCUAAAAUCAAGAUGUAAAUCAUCACAGAGUAAAUUUGUUUUGGGGAGAUUGGAUCCUAACAGUCUCUGAAAAUACUCUGUCACUGCGAUAUAUAGAGACCCUGGAAAAACACAAAAAGCUACCGGUCUUACAGAGCAAAUGAAUUGCACAGUAAGUUGGUACAUGGUACUGUUUUAAUUUUGGGACUGAAUUUGUGAACUCAACAGAAUUAAAGGGGAUAUUCCAGCGUAAAAUCAAGUUAGGGUCAAACACACCGUAACACCAAGUUGGAUAUUCUGUCAAGAGAUGAAUGUUGACGACCGCUUGCUUCCCUAGUUAAACCAACUUUAGUAAUGACCGCACGAUAGCAAUACACAACGGUCUGAGGAGCCACGCACAAACCUCAACCAGAACGCCACUCUAUAGCCACAAAUAAUGCUCAGAACAGCACCUAACUUCAUCAACAGUACAUAUAGGGUCCCAGCCACAGCACUAGCCAUCUUUACUUUAUCAUUUCCUUUAUUUAAUAAUCCCCAUAUUAAUCAUUUUGCACUGCAGACGCGGUAGUUCUUCUGUCCUAGCAUCUCGGUCUGAUUGCAUUUCCAUGAAGAAAUUAUCAUAAAUGUGCUUCCUUGAGCUGCUUCACCCCGCUGCAGUCGAUAGACUCGCCCGGAGGUCUCCGUACAAACAAGCGGCUGCUGGAAGGGAGUGGGUGAGUUGUGUUUAGUCUCAGGCAAAGUUAAAAAGAUGUUUGGUGGCUAGUGAUAUGGCUAGGACCCUAUAUGUACUGUUGAUGAAGUUAGCUGCUGUUCUGAGCAUUAUUUGUGCCUAUAGAGGGGCUUUUUGGUUGAGCCCGUGGCUCCUGGGACCACUGUGUAUUGCUAUUGUGCGGUCGUUACUCAAGUUGGUAUAACUAGAGAAGCAAGUGGUCGACAACAUUCAUCUCUUGCCAGGAUGUCUAACUCAGUGUUACGGUGUUUGACUCUUACUUUAUUCUACGCCAGAAUAUCCCUUUAAGUUGAACAUGAUAGUGUGAUGGACUUCUUUUAUCUUCUUCCCUCCAUGAUUACUUCCUCUGUUGCUAUUCGUGUGGACCGCUUCUUGUGAUCAUGUUAUCGUUUCGCAAGGCAUGCUAAUAAAAUAAAGGUUUCAGUAAGAGAACCAUUAAGCUAAAAAGCACUAAUGUGAUGGGGCAAACCAGUUGAAACUAGUUCUGACCUGGAAUUGUUCCUCAUUUUCAGCCUUAGUUUGAAUGUUGUAAGUUUAGGCAACAGUUGCUGAGAUUCAGUUGUUAGUGGACUGUGUUCUGAUUUUAAUAAUGUCAUCAAUGUCACAGUCUGACAAAUCUGGGAUCUGUUAUACUGUUAUCACCCAUUCAAACACAAGUUCUGUCAUACGUACUCACAUAUUAUGUAUUUUAUCUGCAGCUACCAGAAUCUCACAGAAAUUGUCUCCUGUGUGGCGUUUAAUUCCUCGGGCUAUAUUAUUUGUUUGUUGUUGUGAUGGAGCUGCAGGAAAGUGUCUGUCUUUACUGAAACUUUCCUCUUGCAUGCAGUUGCUCGGGUCCAUUCGCUCUCUUUCGGUGAUUCAUGAUCACUGGAAACAAUCUGGAUUAGAAAUUCUCUCUCACUGUUUUGUGAAUGCCAGCACUAAAAUGAGUAAAGUGCUGGUUCAGGAAGGUUAAACCGAGCAAGGUUUGAGGGUGAGAUCAAGUUUUCUUUGUAAAAUCAAUCACUGCAGGCUGUUUUUCUGACUCCUGCUGCAGAUACUCACCUUCAUUAAAGGCCUCUCAUUUAUCUCCUGUUAUAUAACUGCCUGUACUGUUCCAGCAUCUUUUAUACAUGAAAAGCCUAUCAAUGAGAGUAUGGAUAAUGUGUGUGUGUGUGUGCACUGUGUGUUUGUGUAUGUGUGUGUUUGUGCUGUUUGAGUUUAGCCAGCAGCUCAGAGACAAAGCUGUUGCUAAGCUGGAUCUCUCGCUGCAGAAGAAAUGCAGUGUUUGUGCGGGGCUAUUUGGGUGCCACCUCCCUGGAGAUGCUCGGGGCACUGGCACCCUGACCAGGCCUCUCUUGGCUCGGUUCUGCAUGGAUCACUGGGGGUCUACCUGAGUCCAGAUUCUCAGCAGAACCAGGAUUCAGGAUUAGGUUGUGAUUUUAUUACAUUUUAAUCACAGUUCAGGACUGGUUUAAGGUCUGACUUCUUGUGAGAUCCCAUGGAUAUAUAGGUGUAUGUGUCCCUGCAUGUGUGUAAGGGUUUGCAAAUGUGUAUGUGCAUGUGUGCGUGCAUGUGUGUGUGUCCAGAACAUAAAGGCAGUCAGGCUCAUAAUGAGACUGAGGCCCUCUGACCAGGCUUUAGAAACAGUGGGCAGACUCUUGGCACCGUCAGGGUACUACAUCUUGUGGACAAAGAGGUAUUCAUGGGCACCUAUAUGCACAGGCAUACGCUCACACACACACAUACACACACACACACAUACCUAACACACACAUUCGCACACACAAGUUAAUGAGCGUCACACAUGGUGACACUCUGCUGAUUAAUGUUCAGUGGUUUAAACUCAGGAGAAGAGGAGAGAUUCAGUCCUUUGCCUUGUGUGUUUGUUUGUGUGCUGCUGCAGAGUCACAUGACGCCUAAAAAAAGUAACAACAAGGUGAUGGCUCUAAUUCACUUUAGCUGGCUGAAAUAAGAUUUCAAACAGUCAUGUUUUGUUAGUUAGAUAACAUUUUUCUAGUCUAAUCAUGACAAUUUAAUUGUUAUAUUGAAGGCAAAACAUUUUCUCUCUGAUAAAGUUAACCGACCAAAUAUUCAAAUCUUCAAUGCAACAUUUCACUCUCUUUAAACACUGUAAUGUACAUUAUAGUGGGAUUUAUUACCCUUACCAUAUUUUUCGUGUGAUAAAGUGCACCGGAUUAUACAGCGCACUGUGAAUUAACGUGCCUUUGUUAUUAUUACUGUACCCUUUAUUUAACCAGGUUUGUCCCAUUAAGAUCCAAGAUCUCUUUUGCAAGAGAGACCAGGCCAAGAAUGGCAGCACAUACAGUUUCAAUACAUAAUCACAUUAAUCAUAUAGAAUACAAAUAAUACAAAUGAUAAUUGAAUUUUCAGAAUUAGUUAAAAGAAUUUACAAGAUUAGUCAAACAUUUGCACUCCUGAAGCCUGGAUGUGAUUGAAUUUAUCAUGGAUUUGAAUACAUUCAGAGAUACCAGACUUUGGAGUUUCAGGUCUGAUUGCCAGAUCACACAAAAGGCACACCAGAUUGUAAGGCGCAUUAAGCAUUGAUUGGUUUAUUGUUGCUAGUGUGUACUGCGGCUCCCUUACAUGAAUGUACUUCUCGUUUAGACAUUACAGUCAGGCAGUCUUGUUGACGGCUCAGGGGUCCUGUUACGGUGAUCAGGUAGUGACACAGAGUGCUGUAAUGCUCUGAAUAUCUUUGGAGCGGCUUUGUGGCUUACCAAAUUUAGACUUGCACAUUUCGACAAACUUUUUAGUGCAUUUUACCACAUAAAAUCGGUCAGUAAGCACAACAAGUAAUCAUACAUAAGGUGCACUGGAUUAUAAGGGGCACUGUCAAUUUUUGAGAAAAUCAAAGGAUUUUAAGUGCGCCUUAUAGUCCGAAAAAGACGGUAAUUGAUUAUUUAGCUUAAAAUGUCCCACAAUGCAAUACUACUGUGACGUUUGUUCAAACUGCUGUUGUACUAUUAUGGUCUACUAGAGAUGUGUUUCUUACUCCAGGCAAGAAAUGAAUAACAUGCUGUCAUCGGGGGAUUGAUUUUCCGAAGAACUUAUAAUGAUGAAAUUGUCAUAUCCUACUUGUGAAAGGUACAGAGAUGUGACAGUAUUGUCAUUGUUCGAUAUAUGUAUAUCCCAUGGCUCUUGGUAACGCAUCGGUCUUAUUCAGUCCCUGACAUAGAGGGUAAACCAGAUGAUGACCGAGUUGAAAGAGGGCAUGUGGCCACCUACAGUAGAGGAGUCAGACAUAUGGACAUUGGUGCAGUAUUCCAGUUAAAGCAGGAGAAAAGUCUUCAGUGAAAAUGAUCACGGAGGAUUUGAGGAUUUGUUCCUGUAGCACACUUGGUUUUGAAAGGUGACAUUUGAUCCCAUGGUUAAAAAAGUAUCUCAUAUUCCUUGACACCAACUUGUUCCUCAUGUCCACUUAACUAGUUUUCCUCUGAGGGUUUUUGUUUUGAUUUCAUUCAACAAUGAAAAAGUUAAUGUAUCUACCUUUAUUAAUAUUACCUCUAGAUGGCUGUAGAAUUACACCCUCUGAGGUAUUUCUGUGUCCUUCUAAAACACAGGAUGGAGCAUCAGAGGUUAAAAAUACAACAGUCAGGUCAGCAGUGAGGUGGUUGUUUAAUGUUCAAAAAAUGUUAAGGAAAUCAACAAAAGCAACUCAACUAAAGGUCUAACAAAGGAAAAUAAAACAGCCUCACAGCAGGCUUGUUACCAACCACACACUUCUCCUGGAAGUGGCUGGCUGCUCUUUUGAAGCACCUCCCUGACCCCGCCCUAAUUGAAAACAAUUGGGCGAGAGGGAAACCAGGAAAGGUAAAUCCCAUGAAAACAUGACAAAAUACCAAGUAAUUAAACAUUUUAAAGUGGAAACUCAACUAUGUACAUAUUAAUAUUAAAAGAAAGCAUAAUCAAAUGAAAAUUGAGGAUUUCACUAAGUUUACCCACUCCCUUGAAGUUAUCAAACCUAGAUUAGAGAGCUCAGGCUGCACUGCUAUAAGAACAGACAUGACUGAAGUGGGAAUCACUGUAUGAGCACAAAAUCACUUCUAGAAACAGCGUGUUGCAGCAUCCACAAAUACUGGUUGAAAUCUUACUGUGCAAUAAAGAAGACAUACAUCAACAGAUCCAGAAAUCCCAGACAUGACAAAUCAUACACAUACUUUUACCAUUAUCAUUGGCACAUUAACCCUAUGUCUGUAUGCGAUGUUGUUGUUGUUAUUGUUGUCGUCUUUAUCCAUCUCUUUUCGUCUUAAUCACCCUCUACACCUGUUUCCAAUUCCAACACUGUUGCAGCAGAUCAUUUUUCAGCAGGAGUCAGGUUUGUGAAUGUUGAAGACAGUUUUCUUUGCCCCUAUUGCCCAAGUGCCACAAAGUGCUCUGCUCAUGGUGGAUUAAGAGGAAAUAAAUCUUAUCUAACCUUGAUGUCGGGUCUUUGUAAACUCAUAGAAAAGAUUACAGUCUAGACCUACUCUAUUUGUUAAGUGUCUUGAGCAAACAAAAUUGUUUAAUAUAUUUUAGACCAAAAAAGACAGUUAUUUUUUAUCUAAUGCUGCUCAGCUGUAACCUUGUUUGAACCUGCAGAAGUGCCACAUCAUUAAAGUGAGUGUUAUUUAAUGUAUCAUACAAAAAUGUACUCCGGUGUGAUGUUCUGCAGAGGAAUGUGCACAAAAAAACUCUGUAAGGCUCCUAGACAGACAGAGAAGGUGACAGACUGGGUGGUUCCUGGUGGUCUGAGGGGUCAGGAAAAAGUAUGGCACCAGUGUGUACCAGGUCCUGUCCAACCCCUGAGAAAACCUCACCAUCACAACACCCCCACCCCCCCACCACAGACAGUGUCAUGACCCCUAUUCUCCCAGACAAAAGGUGGAAAUUCACAGGACGUCACAUUUCUGCAGCACGUCAGACCAGUCCACAGAUUCAGAGUCAUGAGAACGAGAGCCGGUCUCUGCUGUCCAGGUUAUGUGUGAAACGGUUAUUUCUGCAAUAGAUCAGUCAACCAUACAGAAACACAGUCAUAUGACGGUACAUUAAACCCCAGAGGGCCUUAAGUAACCUACUUUCAGCACUGUCAGCGUGAGAGAGGUUCAGCUACAAAAAUGCAAUCACACAUUUAACAUCUUUUUAAUUUAAAUCAAUUUACAACAAUAGUGAAUGAGCGAACAAGUCGAUCAGACACAAAUACCCACUGAGCAAUAGACGGCUAUUAAAUGCUAUACAACGGCUAUUCAAAAAUAAUUAUGAUAGCCGUUGAGCAACAUACAGUGUAGUAUAGAUAUAGCCCAGAUUUAGACUUGGUCUAAACUUGGUCUAAAUUUAGACGCUUAAAAAACAUUCAUUUUUAGAUCUGUGGUAGCCUGAUUUUAGACCAGUCGUCUAGGCCAGUGGUUCUCAACUGGUCUCACUCUGGGACCCUUAUUUUCCCAUGGUCCUUAUUCGCGACCCAUUUUUUUAUCGAAUACAAACCAAGCAAACUUAUUUUUUAUUAGAAAAACCUAUAAAGACUUAAAUCUUUACCAUAAAUACACCCAUUUUAUUGAGUUAAGUGCAUUUCAGGGCACAAGGGCUGAGGACGACAACUGCCGAAAUGAAAGACAAAAAACCCCCCCAAAAAACAUGUAUUUUUACUGCAUUCAGGAGGAGGACCACGACAUAAUGUGUGCCUUUUGAAAUAAGCUAUUAUUCAAAAUAAAAGACAUGUCAAACAUUAAAUAUUUACUUUUUUGACCAGCUGUUCGCCACCCAUCCAUAACAUGUCCACGACUCACUUUUGGGUCAGGACCCACUAGUUGAGAACCACUGGUCCAGGCCACAAUUAGAUGUCUAUUAGACCUCUUUUAGACCAAAAAGUACUCAGUGGGUAAACUCCUCUCUAAAUCUUGAUGGUAAAUAGAGAGGAUCACGGACAAUCCUACAUCUCCGUAAACACAAAUAAAGAGAGUAGAGGUGUGAUAUGAAGUGAUCCUGUACUGAGUGCAUUAUUUGAGUGAGUGUCGGUGCCCUGAAAUAUAUAUAAUAUAUAAUAAAAUAAUCUUGGAAGUUUCAUGCCAGUGUGCAAAACUUGCUGCCUAUUCCUAUAUCUGUCUAUAACCUGAAAACAGUAGUAGACAGCACAAGCAGAUCAACCCGAGUAUUGAUUUACGUUACAGCUGCGAUUUUCAACCAAGUAACAAAACUAGGUUCAACACCAGCUGCUUGAGAAACCUCCACAUUCCACAAAAAUUCACCUGAACUUUAAGGGAGCAAGAAGGAAAUAUUCCAGGUUGAGGUAGCCUGAUUUUAGACCAGUCUUCUAGGCUACAUUUAGACGUCUAUUAGACCUCUUUUAGACCAAAAAAUGCUCAGUGGGUACCUGCUAAGUAAGGAAUAAUGUGGAUUAAGCUGGUGGCAAAAAAACAAAACAAAACAAAAAAAAAACAGACAAGCUGAGAUAAAACAGGUGAAGCUCAUUUGUGACGAAUAUAUCAAAUUUCACAGUUUAUAUCUGUCUUUCAUUGUUGGGUGGAUCUGUUGGAACUUGAUGUUUCUCCAACAGAUUGUUUUAAGUCUAAGCUCUUUAUUUAAUUGAACACACUCCUUACUGUUUAUUCACAAAUUGCCAACAAAGGAAGCUCACCAUGACCAGUGAAAAACUCACCUCACCCCUUCACCUCUCAAUGUCCACAGACUCAAACUCUAUAAAAAUGAUUCGGUUUGUCUUAUGCAUUGUCUGAAGUUUUCUUGUAUCAGUCCAGCCCAUGUGUUACCUGAGCAGGUGAUAGGUGCAGGCUAGGUGAGCAGUCAGCAGAGAGAGUGAGAGAACAAUCUUGUGUUGACUGAGUGUGUUUGAAACCUGCAGCAGGUACACCGCUUCACUUUUUGACAUCCUCUCCACAAACAGGACAUGUUGUAAACUCAGAUGUUUUAUUUCCACUUGAAGAUUCAACAAUUCGAUGCUUAAUUUAACAAACAUGCCGUUCUGAGGAGAAUUUGUCCAGAGCUGAAAAUAACCUCAGCUUUAUUAAAUUAUGAUCAACUGAGAGAAAUGAUGCAGGCAGAAAACAAGCCCAUCGUGUUAAAUCCAUAUGUGUUACUGAGAACAGCCGUGUACAGAAAACACACACACACAUGUACACACAUACACACACGCACGCACUUGUCCUCAUCUGCAGUUCAGAUGAGUAAUACUGAUAACACGGAUGUCUUUAAUAAAGAUCAAACAGUCACUCUGUCUGCAGCUGGUCUGCUCAACAGUCCGCACAUGGUGUGAAGGAAGACACGUCUAAUCAACACACAUACACACACAUGCAUACGCACACACACAAUUUAAAAGACAUAAAACAGAGGGAGAAACAUGCUUGUAUGUGAAAUUGCAUGUGCUAUGAUCCAUUGAUAACGACUUACGGUUAGUAUCAGUCAGUACAAACUCCUUCAUAAUUGGUCAAUGCUGAUUCCUCAUUCGUAGACAGAUGUCUGUUGGAAACCAGACACUCAUGACACCAGUUAACUAAGUGGGUAGACUCUGAGGACUUGAUCACUUCUUGUCUGGUCUGGGGUCAGAUUAGACGGGCUAAGGUUGCAUUUUUUAAAGAGGAUUUAAAGGGGUUAAGUUUUUUAAAGAAUACAGAUUAAAAGGUGGAUGUAUUGAUAAUGGAUCAGCGUUUGCCACACAUGAAGAGUAUUCAUCUGCCUCAGACCUCUCAUUGUUCUCGGAGGUGAUAAAUCUGUUAAUGCCUAAAAGUUAGUCGGAUUUUAAGGAAAAGGAGAUACCUUGUGUCGUGUCAAAAGUUCCUUUCUACCCAAAGAAUGUCUGUAAUCUGUCUUUAAUGUCCUCCCUCCUGGUCUACAUGCAAACCCAGAGGCUUAUGCUGUGUGCUAUUAGUAAGGUCUGCUGCUAAUUUAACAAGGGGGGGAAAUUACUUUUUCACAUAGGUCCAUGUUGAUUUGGAUUGCUUAUUUCCCCCUUAAUAAAUGAAAUCAUCAUUUCAAAAGUGCAUUUUGCAUUAACUCAGGUGAUCUUUGUCUGGUAUUUAAAUUUGUUAGGUGAUCUGAAACAUGUGAGCGUGACGAAAAAGCAAAAAAAGAAGAAAAUCUGUAACAUUUUACAAUAACCAUAACUUAUAAAUAGUAAAUAGACCAUUUAUAAAUGGUAAGCAGAUAGUUUAUUAAUGUUUAAUCAUCAUUUACAAAUCGCAUGUAGACCAUUAAUAAAUUGUAAAUUCAACAAUUUUAAAAGCCUAACCCUAACUUUACAAUAACAAUCUAAGUAAUGUUUAUAGGUGUUUAUAAACCAUUUAUUAAUUAUUUACAAAGUAUUACAAACAUCAGUUGCAACUUUAUAAUAACCAUCUAAGUAAUGUUUAUAGAUGAUUUAAAAACCAAAUAUUAACCAUUUAAAAAGUGCUACUUAAACACAUUUUAAUCUAGAUGUUUUACAACCAAUAUUUAAACCCUGUAUAAACCUUUAAUAAAUGGUCCAUUAAUAAUGAAUGAAAAUUAUUAAUCAUAAUUUCAUUGCUUGUUAAUGGUAAAGUUACUUUUAACUUGCAUGAAUAAACUAUCUGUUUGCCAUUUAUAAUUGGUCUUUAUGCUGUUUUUAAGUGAUGAUUAAACAUUAAUAAACUAUGUAUUUAUCAUUUAUAAAUGAUGGUUAUUGUAAAGUGUUACCAGAAAAUCUUUAAAGGGGCAAAUACUUUUUCACAGCACUGUAGCAGGUCAAUCCACUUCCCCUACCUGGACUAGUCUUCCCUUAAUUCAGGGCGAGUACUCAACCUUGUGCCAGCAUUUUUGCAUCCUUGGAUUUACCCCGUAUCAUAGCAACUGUACACAACCAGAGACUGACAGAUACAAAAAACACUUAACCUCCAAAAGGGCUUUCAGGCGUUCACUUCUGGUUGUUCUAGCUGAGUGUUUGGUGUUUAGAUGGACAGAUUCAGGUCCUUUCUGCACCGAUGUUGCUCUGACACAUCCUGUGAUUGAACUGGUUGACCCAUCAGUGUUUUUCUGUAGCUUCCCUGUACCUGACUUUUAUCUAUAAUGUUAUAAAAACCAAAGAGAAAAGACCGUCGACUCUGGUGGUCUUGGAUCGUAUCUCUGUCUUUGAAGGGGGAACAUUUUCUUGGAAAGGUCGGGAUUAAGCCUCAGUGGUGGAAGUAUUUGGGGUUGUGGUUGGGGGUUGGGCUAAAUUUUUGAGUUUGAAGCCUGUGACAUUUAGUAUUGAUAGUUUUCUUCAGCGUCAGAUUAAAACACCAUGUCUGAAGACAGAUUAUGCUUAUAACGAUAUUAAAACCUCCAAUUAUUUUGGCUUAUCCAGCUCAGAGUAUUUGUAAUGUUUGAAAGGUUUACCAGCUCAGCUUUCAGCCGAGUCUUUCUUACCUUUCUUCCCAACAGAAAAAGAAGUGUCCUGUUUCUGAUUUUGAGCCGAUGAGUCCACAAAGGCAAAAACCGGCCUGUUUGGUCUUUAAUGAAAAAGAAAAGCUGCAAUGAAUGAUCUAAUAAAAUGGUACCAGGUAUUCGGAGCCCAAUCUGAGCACCGCUCUGUAAUUAAUCCCUGAAUCAAUUUUAUUACAACCAACACUUUUAUGAUGCAGUUCACCGGCAUGUGCAAUGAAAGCCUAGCAGAGCAGCUCUUGUCUUACUCUGUUUGAAAAUGGCUGCAUACUCAGAUGGAGGACAAUUCACACCGCCAGUGCCAGAGACAAAUGGUCCCAGAAAUUCGGUGAAAGAAUAACAAAGACCGUUCUGGGCAGCAGAUGUGUGAAGGAUGGAUCAAUGAGUCAACAUUGACUUUAAUGAAAUGAGAAACUCUGUUCAACUUAACAAUAUGAUUUGAGAAACUAGCUCAGGGGCCUGUCUUUUGAAACAAUUUGAAAGAAGAUGAUUCAAAAGGACUGUGGUGAAGAAAGACUGAAUAUUGGUUAAAGACAAAGGCAUUGCACACGAUUAUCGUGUGAUAAAGUGCACAAUUUAAAUGGAAAAUUCCUUUUUCAAACGUGCCUGGAUUAUCAGGAAAAUAUUGUCUUUAUUUAAUACAAAGAGCUUUUCUAUUCUUAUAGCGUGCACAUAUGUCUAUUCGUAUGUCUUCACAGCAGGCCUACUUAUGUCUGAAGAUAAUCUUUUAUCAAUCAAAGUACAUGCUGUUAAAGAUCUUGUUUUCUUUUUUUUUGGUUUCAGGCUCUGAUGGUCUGACAACAUUGCUAAAAGGAUCCUUCUUUUUCCCAACAAGACAAUUUGAUUUAACCAGAGACAUCUGUUACAUCAUUCUCUUCAAAGACACCAGACUCCAUUGAUAAAAACAGGAAUUUUAAUUGAUAGAUCUGCUGUGUCAGGGAAAGAUUAAACACAUCCAGAUUCAGUGCCGGGUCCAGGAAGACUUUUGUAAUGAAAUAUAAAUGCACAUUUUAAAUGUAAGACACUUCAAAAAGGUUGGGAUAGAGGUGUUUACCAUCGUGUUGAAUUCUUCUCUUAUUAAGACUUGAAAGUUAAGGGUUUGAGGAUAUGAGAUUCAGCUGUUCAGUAGAUAGGGGGUCUCCUGUUCGUUCUAUGAUGAGAUGACUGAUUUCAAUGGGUGACAAGCCAGGACUAGAGGCAGGCUAGUUUAGCAGCAGGCCUCUUCUACUACAGAGCCAUGUUGUUGUAAUCCCUGUAGAAUGGGUUUUGGCAUCAGCCAUGUUCACAUGGGCAAAAUUUCUUGAUCCGAUUAAAGGUUUGAAGGAUCAGAUAAUCUGAAUCCACUGUUUAUAUGCAAAAUCAAAAUCCUAUCAUGAUGUGUGUAUACAUGCACCAAGUUUUAUUUAUUUUAUUUAUUAUUUAUUUAUCCGAGAAGAGAGUGCUUUUUGAUAAAAGACAAACAUUACAAAGAUAAUGACCUGAAGGACAACUUGUGGAGAGUCAUAGCGUCGGAUCUCUCAUAUGAAGAUGGUUUGUGUGCUUUAACAGUUUGCUAAACAUCUUUGUUUUAACUUUCAUCUGUGCUAACGUAAGCUAACCGUUGUUACCAUAGUUUCAUGUGCUUAUCUUAUCACCUCUGAUUGUCUAUAAGUGCUGACCGUUUGGCUUGAGCGUGUGAUGACGUUUCCAGCUUUUGUAGUUAAUCAGAGGCGAAGGAGGCGGGACUUUCCCCAGAAAAAGUCUUCCCAGGAUGCGUCUUUUUCCCCCUGGAAAGUUGCAAAAUUGCAUUGGGCUUGAUGUGGAUAGUCAGGCGCUUCAAAAUUCACGUUGGCCCCGGUGUGUAAGGACCUUAAGUGUUCAGAAUGGACGCGUUUCGGAAUAUUGAUCGGCAUAAACAACCCCUCUCGAUUGGAAUACAAUAUUUUUAUGAUUGAGCCGAAUUGGAUCAGAAUCUUCCAAUUGAUGUGCUUACAUAAUGCAUUUUUUAUUCCGAUCGGGCAUUUAUUCCGAUUAUUUGUGCCCAUGUGAAUGCAGUCAAAGGUCAUCACAUGGAUGUCAGCAAUGACUGGAAAACCAUCAUAAAUUUUGUUGUUAACAUUUUACACCGCAUCCCAAAUUUUAUGGAGCAAAGGUUGUAUCAAGUACAGUUUUCCAAAAAUACCAGAAUGUCUCUAAUAUCCGGUCACAUUUUGAGGUUUUCGAGCCAGAAGGUUUUCCUUGCAGUUCUGACCCACAUCCUGCAGCAGAUAAUGUGUGUCACAUUGCUCCCGCAGGAUACUGUUUCGCAUCUCUAAGGUCACACGUUUUUUUUCCUCCCUGGUGUGAUGGAUGUGUGAGCGAGAGGUUGGGAAAACACAGCAUCAUUAUAAAGUAGUGUUUUUCAGUUGUUUGUUUGUUUAGGCAGCUGCAGCUUGACCUUUUAACUACAUCAGACACAUGCGUGCAUUAGAAGUGUAGUGUUGAAGAUCAUACUAUAAAAGUUAAUAUGGAGUUCCCCUAUAAAACUGAGGAGCAUCCUCUGCUCAUAAAUCCAGAGAGGAAGAAUAGAAAGUGACUGUUGUGUGUUUAUGGCUGUUUUAAUGAGAAACAUAAACCAGAGGAAGAGAUUGUCAGGCCAUGUGAUCGAUCCUCUGCUGACUGAUCAAAGUGUUUGAUGGAAGUUUUUGCUCGUGAUGCUGAGAUAGUUGUCUGUUGAUUAUUAAAAUUUCAAAGGAGGAGCACACUGAUGAAUUCAGACAAAAAUCGAUCCCUUUUUAUGAUUUUUGUCCGAGCCAAAAUCACACACAGAUGUGAAGUUGUUAACAGUAAACAGAUGUUUGCACACGCCUCCUCCUCCUCCUCCUCACCUGUGUCUGAUAAAUGACGUCACCAGUUAAACAUUCAGAGCUGACACUGGUUCAUGUUAGUAAAACUUUAUGUCUGCAUGCAAUUUUAUGCACUUUAAACAUUUGGCAGCAAACCAGCGGCUGGCUUUCCUUUUUGUGGGAAAGUAAAGGAAUGUCAUAUAGGCUACUGGUGCACCAAGGGUGAGGGUUAGUGAGGAGGGGGGGUAGUUCUUAAUCCAAAGUGGUAGGUCAUGGUCUGGGACAGAGGAAUGGGGUCAUUUCCCACCACUUAAAAGAACCAGCUUUUACUUUUAGUUAGCACUAUCACUGCCUGUAUUCACUUCUGACUGAACCUCUCUGUGUCAUGUUAGCCGUGUGCACCUGUCAGCAGUUUACUGUUCACGGGUUUGAAGUCGAGGAUAAACUGACCUGCUUUCCAGCUGCUUCGACUACAAGCAUCAAGACGCCAUUUUUUUAUCAGAGUUACAAAGUUAAUGGUAAUCUCUGAACUUCUGGAUACUUGACGCUGUAAAUUGUUACCUAAAUUGCAACCUAGUAUUUUGGCCAUGGUGGAUUAUGAUGGACUAGAUUGGAUCAGAUCCAUAGACUGUGUAUAGAAUGGACAGAGUCUGCCUCCUCGCUGGGUGAAGCCACCCUGAGAACGGCACACUCUGGUGACGGGCUGCAGUAUAGGUCAUAAAUCCCGCCUCCUCCAGCCAUCCCUAUGGAGCUGUCGACAAACUUCAGAAAUUUAUAACACAGAAUAUAAAUUUUUCUCACCCCUGGUUGUGAUGUUGACAUGUAGUUACUGUAAGACUGGUUUGUGCUCAAGUCCUCUUUUUUUCUUGUACAGCUCUGAUUUUGAAAGUUAUUAGGGGGUUCAUGUUUUCUAUGAUUGACACCUGAUACAGCCUAUGGGUGUACGAGGAUUGCAUAGCUCACCCGGGGGAUAUGCUGUUUGAGCCAAACGUCAUCACUGCGUCAACGCCAACACUGAAGACAGAACCAAGUUGUCCAUUAUCGAUGGAUGGAUGGAUAGCUGGAUGGUAGAGUGAACUCUUUUACAGAAAAGCAACCUUAAAGGCCAAACACCCAUUCUUCCCAAGGACCAGUCCCCAACACACUAUAUGAAAUCAGCAUUAUUCAUUCCUCUCUGAAGAGGUGUUACAUGUACAAAGAUAGUGGUCCCCAUACAGGAAACCCUAGCUCAGCUAGGGUGACCAUACCUCCUCUUUUACCCAGACAUGUCCCCUUUUUGGGGGGCUGUCAGGGCUGUCUGGGCUUGUCCGGCUUUGUCCAGGGAAGUUUAUAAAAUCCUUCAAAUGUCCGCAGUUUUGUACAUAAGUUUCAGUUUUCUGUCACAUGGACUUACUGAGUUAGAAGCGCAUAAAGGACACUCGAUGCGACUCGAAAAACUCACAAUUAACUUCGUGCAACUCCGUGACUCCGUACCCUUGUGGUCAUGUCCUGUUUUUUGGAAGUCAGAAUAUGGUCACCCUAACUCAACCUAACUUCAAGCCAAGAGAAAUGAUUAUUUGCAUACAAAAAGUGAUAUUUGGGGGACAGCAGCAAAGACCAUGGAGCACUGAAAUUGUUGAAAACUAGACACAACAUAAAAGGAUGGCUGGGGUAGAAGCAGGUUGCAAAGCUGUUUGCAGAAAAAGCAGCAAGAGUAGGCGGGGUGGCGGCAUUUUGACUUUUGGCCAUAGUUAUGAACAGCUGUUGUAUCAAAGGCUGAGCCUGACUUUGUGGCCUGCCCGAACUAAUGAUUCAUCCGUUCUGGUUUGGGUACUGUGUAGUCUAACCGUGGAUUAAUAAUUAACCAGAUUUUUAAUUUCAACAGUUAUCUUGGUUGUGGUUGAGAGAUAUAUCAUGGUUGUGUCUUAAGAGCUUGUCACCACUAAUAAAUUAACCAUGCAGGGCUGAUUCACUGAUUCGUAGGAUGGUAUCUCUCUUUUCACAUACACCAAAAGGAGUGUUUUUAGUUUGAGAGCAUCUGACACUAACAGUCUCCUGCUGUGAAGUGCACGUGUGAAAGAGGCUUUUCUGGAAACCAUCAGGACCUGAAUUUCCUGAAAUGAUUCAAAACAUGUCUCAUGAAUUAAGCAGGCUAUAGAACUAGAACAGGAAAUCGCUGGGCUUAGUUACCUCAGCAGGUUCACUCAUAGAAAAAAUGAUCCACAUGCUCGGUCUUUUUUAGCGCAGUCAUACUAUCAGUGCUGGUGUGUUCAGCUGAAAGAGAGAGGACACAAACGCAGACAGAUGAGAGCAGGACCGAUUCAGUGACUCAGUGACUUUGAAUCUUUAUCAGAGUAAACGCAGAGAAGAGAGAGGAACAAAAAAUACCUCCAAACUACUUCUCUUCUCUGCCCGCUGUAAUUCAAAGCCGCAGCACUUCAAUUAGAGAGGAAAUAGGAAACAACCUGCCACCAAAAAACAGUCCUCCACAGUUAAUUUGAUUGGCUGUUUUCUUGUGACAGGCCCACAUGGCUUCUCUCCAUGUGCUGUGUGGGAGAUUGUUUGUGUGUGUGUGUGUGUGUGUGUGUGUGUGUGUGUGUGUGUGUGUGUGUGUGUGUGUGUGUGUGUGUGUGUGUGUGUGUGUGUGUGUGUGUGUGUGUGUGUGUGUCAGGGCUGGUGGGGUCAUUACUGUCACAUGGUUCACAGAAACAGAUGAAGGAACUACAUUUUUUUAGAGGGUGCUGUGAUGUUGUGAUGUUAACCCUCUUCUCUCUGUUUUCUUUGUGCAUGCUUAUAUGUGUGUGUGUGUGUGUGUGUGUGUUUUGUAGAUUUGAGUGUGAACCUGGCUGUAGGUGGCUGUGGGUAUAAAAGGGGGGUGAUGCCUUUGUGUUAAAAUUGAAAAUUAAAUGUCCUCGAACCUCUUCUGUUCCUGCAGAGACUCUGUUCCCUCAGACCUGUCUGAAGGUUUCUCUGUCAGCCUCAGUGAGUGCAUUCACACCAUGAAAGAGAUGGAGGUCAUUUGCAAGGCUGUACCGCAGAGCUCCAACACGAAAUCAAAAGCCAAACUUCUUACAUAAGACAGCAUUUGUACAUUGUGUAUAAUUCGACUAGUUUAUUCAGAAAGUUUAUUCACUCAACGUGACGUAAGUUUACAGAACAAUGAAGCCUGAAUGAUCCCAGUUAGUGCUGUCAUGUUACAUGACUGUGUUUUAUUACUGAAUAGUGUUUCCCAGCGAGAUGCGCCACAAAGCAGCUGGGGCAUGGGAUGAGCUUGUCACCUGUGGGAAUAUUAUUUGAUGGAGGAAUUUAGAUGUUGCACUUUAACCCAUUAUUUGAUAACUAUUUAUUUAAAAAAGCAACUGUAAGUUGUAUAACUGAUCUCCAAGGGAUAUUUCAGUGUAAAAUUGAGUUAGGGUCAAACACAUCUAGGGCUGAAACGAUUACUCGAGUAACUCGAGUAACUCGAUUAAUAAAAUUCCUCGAGGAAUCGUUUAAAUCCGGAACCAUGUGCAGCGCACGGUGUUUGACACGGACGGUUAUUUCUGUUGCGCAGAAGCGUGCUCUUUCCGCUCCUUCCGCUGCCGCGCGUUUGGUUCAAUCAUGGAGGGAAACGAGGACAGACAGAAGCUGUGUCCGAAAUGGCAUACUGCCUGCUAUCUACUUACCUACUCAAGCAGUAGCUACUGCCUACUGACUACUCAAAGAUGAUUUGAGUAUGCCGCGGCUGCCCGAGCGUUUACACACAUACAUACUAAAUACCCCAGAAUGCAUUUCGUGCCGGCCGGACGCAGCGCCGGGAAAAUUUAAAUAGUCCUACCACAAGCUACAUAGAACGACUGCAUACCGGACAAAUUAUAUAAAUUCAUUCAAUAAUAAUAUUUUUUCUAGCGAGAAAGUAAGUGUUUACAUCACGAUUAUGAGCCCAGUUGUUUGAAAUAGUGGCUGUUUGUAAAUUUGUCUCGGCGUUUUCGGAGACCGAAGCGUCCACUUGGUCGGUGUUUGCGUCUAUUUACCGUAAACACCGGGCAGCAGCAGCUCCCCCUUCACGUUUCCAAAUUAUUGCGAAGUGUUUUCAUAAUCAACAUCUACACGACACAAACCGGGCGGCAGUGGAUGAAAAAAAUCACACAAACAUCCGUGUAUCCAUGGUGAUAAUGCUAUACACCACCUGCUAGGCGUGUGAUGAGCAGCAGAGGGCUGCAAAAUGACCAACACACAACAACAUGUAAAUAAAAAUGUAACACUUUUAUAUAUUGAAUAAAUGUACAUUUGCUUGUCAAAUUAUGUUAGUAUCCAAGAAUUAUAUUAUUUCAGCCUAUUAAUUAAACAAGUAAAAUUAGAUCCAAAGCCUGGAAAUAGUUGUGACUGGUUUAGUGAAAACUGCAAAGAUCAUUACCAUAGCAAUUAAAAGACCAUCUGCAGACCUUGCCUUCAGUAGUUUCAUGUGAACUACAUGGUAAAAUGUAAAACUUUUGGUUCCUGAUUUAUGCAGUAAAAAUAUUCAUUUGAAAGACCUGGCCUAUUUCAGUUUUGUGUGUUACUGAUGGUUUUUAAUGAGGCAAACGUGAUUCAAUGCAAAGUAUUACAGUGAGAGCAAAACAUUUCUUAUCCGAUUACUCCAAGCAGUUAAAGGGAUAUUUCAGUGCAAAAUUGAGUUAUGGUCAAACACAUCGUAACACCGAGUUAGACACCCCCUCAAGAGAUGAAUGUUGUCGACCGCUUGCUUCUCUAGUUUUACCAUCUUUAGUAACGACCUCACAAUAGCAAUACACAGUGGUCUCAGGAGCCAUCAACAAACCUCAACUAAAAAGCCACUUUAUAGCCACAAAUAAUGAUCAGAAUAGCACCUGAGGUCUCCUACAUACAAGUGGCUGCUGGAAGAGAGUGGGUGAGUUGUGUUUCUUUUGCAAAGAGACUAAACACAACUCACCCACUCUCUUCCAGCAGCCAGUUGUUUGUAGGAGACCUCAGGCCAGUCCAUGAUGGACAACAGCGGGGUGACGCAGCUCAAGGAAGAACAUUUAUGAUCAUUUCUUUAUCAUUUUCUUGAAGUAAUUAUCACCAUAUUAAUCAUUUUGCACUGCGGUAGUUCUUAUACUUUAGCGUCUCGGCCUGAUUGUAUUUCCAUGAAGAAAUGAUCAUAAUUGUUUCCCUGAGCUGUGUAAAGUUGGUAAAACUAGAGAAGCAAGCGGUCGGCAACAUUCAUCUCUCAAGGGGGUGUCUAACUCUGUGUUACGGUGUGUUUGACCCUAAAUUUUACACCAGAAUAGUCCUCGAACCAAAACAAUUAUGAUAGUUGUUGAGCAAUAUACAGUGCAGUAUAGAUAUAGCCCAGAUUUAGAUUUAGUCCAAACUUGUUCUAAAUUUAGAUUUCUAAAAAGCUUUAAUUUUUAGACCUGCGGUAGCCUGAUUCUAAACCAGUCGUCUAAGCUACAUUUAGACGUCUGUUAAACCUCUUUGAGACCAAAAAAUGCUCAGUGGGUGGGCUGAACACCAGCCGCUUGAGAAACAUCCACACCCCACAUAAACUUACCUGGACUUUAAGGGUGCAAGCAGGAGAUAUUCCAGGUUGAGGUCAGGGUGAAAAACUGAACUGUUUGUGUUCACACAUGAAGCUCGCCUACGGGGUAAUAUCUGGAAAUUUUCAGAAACUUUGUGCAUGUCUGAAAGGGGCAUAUCUUAUCUACUUGUCUUCUAUAUAAAUCACCUGUAUCUUCGCUCGAUUAUUGUAAACUAUAAACCCACUACUCUUACAGUAAAUGGUUAAUUUUCUGAACGUCUUGCCUUUAAGAGGACCUUCUGUUUGGUGCAAGACGUGGUGUGAAUCUUGGCGUUUCCUGUCCCAGAUUUCUCUCCUCUGCUCAUGCGUGUCCUCAGGUUGCCUCCAGAUUCAAGCUGUUUUCUGAGGGCUCUCGGGAUCCCGGGUUACAGCUGAGUCGAGACGGAACCACCAUCAUAUGACCAAACUACCACUUCAUAUACAACGUGAGCAUUUAAAGAGCUCCAUCAGACACAAUGACACACCUGUUAUUGGUGUGUGAUAACAGAGAGGGUGCCAGCAGAGAAUCAUUAGUGACUCUGAACAUUGAGGCAUUGUGUGAGGGAAGCUGUGCUCGGCCUGUUAAUGGCAGCCUGAAACAUUGGCCCUGACAGGCGGGCAGGCUGGCGUCAGCGCUGGCAGAGAGACACAGAGAGAGCGAGGGAGAGAGAGAGAGAGAAGCUGGCAUGAAAAGAGAGGAUCUGAACCGCUGCCAGAUUCUGCUGCUUUAACGGAGAACCAACAGCAGAGAGGGGGUCAGCUGUCCGGACCCUUAAAACAGCACUGCACUGUUUCUGUGCGCUCAAAACGCUUUUAUUUCCCUUUCACAUCUAAUUCAAUAAACAUCCCCCGUCUGUCAGAGAGAAUCAGAGCGACGCUGCAGCAGCUCCUUCCUGCUGGAUCUCUGUGGUCCUGAAUACAGAUCCACUCACAGAUCAGGACUAAGAACUCCUGCAGCCAGAUCACCCCUAACUUCAGAUCUGUUAUACAUACUGGAGCUUUAAACCCACUCACUGAAUCACAAAGGCCAUCAGAAGGUCUCACUCAGAGAUGGGAAUCAACUGUCAGAAAUAUAAGCAGAUAUAUAAGGAUGAAUGCCAUUAUUUUACUGGUAAAGCAAUCUCAUUUACAGGCCAAAACCAGCAGUUAUUUGGUCACACCAUCUUCAUAUGCACAGCUUUAAAAAACAAACUUAGAAACAACCUGAAGCCAUUGGUGGUUUUGGACUAAAUUUGACUGCUUUCAUGGGCAAUCCUGAAAAAACAGCAGGACUUCAGCCCAGCCAAGAUUUUUUGAUGUUGAUGGAACAGCCUGAACCCCGGUUUGAUGGUUUUGAAAUAAUUUAUAGACCCACUCUGAUGAAAAUCAUGUUUUUCUUGUUUUUCUUGUUCAUAUGGCAUUUUUCUGAUUCUGCAGGGCAAAUCAUGAGAAAACUAAAUGCAAAAUUACUUUUCCUUUUGUUUUUUUCCCGUUUUUCCUGUUUUAUUUUGUAGUAGUUUAUUCCCUGUGUUUCUAGUCUUGUUUUACUUUCUCAGUUUCCCCCCUCUGUAAUUGUCUGCACCUGUGUCUCUGUGUCUCACCUGCCUCUCGUUGCUCAUUUCCCUGUUGUUGUAUAUAUAUAGUCAUUGUCUUCCCCUGUUUCUUUGUUGGUUCAUUAGAUGUGUAUGCUGUAUGUAUCUUUGUCGGUGUGUGUUUAUGCCAGUGUCCCCAGUGUCUCCUGGUGAUUUGUUCCCCCAGUGCC
rnacentral:lncRNA from 1 species